AGCAAGAACCUAUCUCAAGAAAGGAAAAGAAGAACAAAUGAGAUAAUAAAUGUCCUGAGGAAAUUAAUAUUUAUAAUACCUUUAAUGCUUAAAUGCAUAUACAUUAAUAAACAAGAGCCAGAAUUUUUUUUAAAAACACACUUAAGUAUUUCAUAAUUAGAGAUGGCAUAAAACUUUCAAGUCAUCCAAUAAUAGAGGUUCUCUUAUGUUUUAUCAGACCACUGCUGCAUUUUGGUACAUUUGACUUCAGUACACUUAAACCUCGCUUUCAGGAAGAUAGAUAGGGCCAUCUUCUUAAGAAUACAAAUCCCCCAAGAAUGGUGCUCGAGCUGCUCAAGCUUUCCAACCAGAAAAUAUGACUGUAUUGAAAGAUACAAGAAACAAUAGGACCAGCCUCACUUCUGCCCCUUAAAACAAUUCAAAUCACUGAAGGUGACAUCUCUUGCUGGCAUCUCUGCUGCCAUCUACUGACUCAAACUGGCACAUAUUCUAGUCAAUCCUAACCAAGAAGGGUUACAUUGUUCUGUAUACGUUUCCAUUUUAAGUCUUAACAUGUUGUAUUACAAUCCUUUGUACAUAACUUUACUUCUAAAUUGCAAGUACCCACAAGAUACACAGGAUGUCUUGCUCAUCUUUUAGUAGGUAAUCAGGAAAUGGUUGUGGGAUUAAGUAACUGUGAGUGUUACACAGGCCUUCUCCAAAAAGAUCAUCUCAAUUUUCUUAAGGAUUCCUCCAAAACCCAGAAACUACCAUACUUUUAUCAAGCAGAAGAGAGCAAGUAGUCUAUUUUUCAAGGCCUUCAGAGUAGCUCCUUCCACAACUUUUUUUAUUCACCCAAUAUCAGCCUUCACAAUCUCCAUCAUCAGCAAAUUAUUCUGUCUCAAAUAAGAAUUGUUUAUUGUUUAUGUCUAUGACUCAUGUGGCUUAGAGUUGGUUGUAACUUUAAUGUGAGGGGUUUUUGGAGACUCAAAAGCAGAACUGUGACGA